rnacentral:rRNA from 1 species
UACGAGGGGGGCAAAUGUUGUUCGGAAUCACUGGGCGUAAAGGGAGCGUAGGCGGGUUUUUAAGUCAGGUGUUUAAUCCCGGGGCCCAACCCCGGACAGGCACUUGAAACUGGGAAUCUUGAAUAGUGGAGAGGUCAGUGGAAUUGGGGGUGUAGCGGUGGAAUGCGCAGAUAUCAGGAGGAACACCGAUGGCGAAGGCAGUUCUCUGGGCCGUAACUGACGCUGAGGAGCGAAAGCGUGGGGAGCGAACAGG